CUGCCUUUGGGUUUUCAUGCAAAGCAGUGGUAGCUCCACAUAGCCAGAGUCACCCUGGGGUUAUCCCAUGGACACAGAGCAGGCCACCUCUGGCCAGCAUCACCAAGCCCUGAGAGCAACGUGGGGUGAUUGCAGCUGCGUAGUGAAUCGCCACAGAGCUGCUGCUGCCCCAGUUAGCACAGCUGCAACAGUACCAUCUACUCAUUCACCUUUUCCUGUAUCAUGAGAACAACACAUUGAGAAUGAGGCAUCAGCAUCGAAAUGUACAGACAGCACCAUCUUUUGGAAGCCUCCCAGCUGAUCUCUAAGGAAGGCUGCCCAAAAGAAGGGAUUGGAGCUUCCUGGACAACUGACACACCUUUCUGACUCCCCCAGCUUUGACCAGUAUGUGAAGUAUUCCCUGCUCACAACUGCCUAGGUUGCCAGGAAUUCCAUGGGUCCACCAAGCUUGCAGCUGCCUCAGGAGCCAUCAGGAUCCAUCCCAACCCCUGACUGAGAGCUGCAAGGUGACAAUUCCCACACAGGGAGAGAAGCAGGUGCUGGCCAAGGGUGGUUCUUCUACAAACAGCCUGGGCUCAGCAGGGCUCAGCCACCUCUGGCCUGGUGGUGUCUGGCAGUGGGAGGUGAGCCGGGGUCAGGGAACACAUUUCUAAGCCAGCUCCUACUGCCUGAUGAUGGAUCCAGGUCAAAUGGACCCAAAUGGAGGCUUCCCGCCAGACCUUGGCCGAUGACUGCAGCAAAGAACACUGCCUGCAGCCACAGGGAGAGACAAAGCCAGCAGCUUGUUUAAUAAGCCACAUAUUUGCAGACAGAAGUGGAAGUGCAGGAGAGCAAAGCACCUGGGGAGGAGCAGCAGCAGCUCCCCAGGGUUAUAAAUACAGAUUGUAUUGUUGGCUUUUCACAAAUAUUAAAAUGAAUGCUAUAUGGAUAAUGUUGAAAUAACUUUGCUGUAUGUUAUAGUUUUUUAAAUUAUUUCUGCUAUGACCAAAACUUGGAAAUAGCAGUGUGAUAAACAUAUAUAUUUCUUAGGCUAUCGCAUAAUAUUAAAUGGACACAAUGGGAUGGUGAGGGGCUUUCCCCUUUGGAAAGAGGGGCUGGCAACUCAGGAAAUGUUUAAGGAUGUUGCCAGGUCAUGUAGGAAGAAGAUUAGAGAGGCAAAAGCCCAAUAAGAACUUGAGGAAAUCCUGUCAUUGCAAUCAACUCUUCCUUCCCAAAAUGCCAUCCUUGGCUGGAGUAUAAAUGGAACUGGAAUGCCAAGUGCUGGGCUCCUGAGGCCCAGGGACACACACCCUAAUGCCAGGGAUGGUUUACUUGGCCUAAACCAUUCAACGUGGGGCCAUACAUUAGUUUUAGUCUUGGGCCACGUAUUUCAUGAGAUGCAUUUUUCAAACCAACCUCCUCUUCUCUUCAUUCUCGUGUUCCUCAGUAGGAAAAGCCUUCCACUGGAAGUGGGCUGUGAUGUUACUGCUGUUUUUGAUGAACAUGGUUGCGUGGUUUGACAUGUUGACAAAAGUCUUCUCAACCUUCACGAAAUUUGUGCUCAACUCAAUGUUUACAUCUUCAGCUUUUCCCUGAAGGUUUGUGUGAAUACUUUUUUCACCUGGAACAAAGCAGAGUCUUUGUUCAGCUCAGUUGCUGAUGGAAGCACAAGGAACAGAGCAAACCACAGGUCACAGAACAAAGUGUCACAGCUUUAGCUGUAUUAGCAGUUCCAUGGAUCAGUAU